CCUACGGGGGGCAGCAGUGGGGAAUAUUGCACAAUGGGCGCAAGCCUGAUGCAGCCAUGCCGCGUGUGUGAAGAAGGCCUUCGGGUUGUAAAGCACUUUCAGCGGGGAGGAAGGCGUUAAGGUUAAUAACCUUGUCGAUUGACGUUACCCGCAGAAGAAGCACCGGCUAACUCCGUGCCAGCAGCCGCGGUAAUACGGAGGGUGCAAGCGUUAAUCGGAAUUACUGGGCGUAAAGCGCACGCAGGCGGUCUGUCAAGUCGGAUGUGAAAUCCCCGGGCUCAACCUGGGAACUGCAUUCGAAAGUGGCAGGCUAGAGUCUUGUAGAGGGGGGUAGAAUUCCAGGUGUAGCGGUGAAAUGCGUAGAGAUCUGGAGGAAUACCGGUGGCGAAGGCGGCCCCCUGGACAAAGACUGACGCUCAGGUGCGAAAGCGUGGGGAGCAAACAGGAUUAGAUACCCGUGUAGUC
rnacentral:rRNA from 1 species